GAAGCAUCGUACAGGUUAGAGUUCCUAUUUUAUUGGGACUCCAUAGACCAAGCAAGAUAGCUUUUUCAUUUAUAUGGUCCGAUCUACUUUGUUUGGAUCAUAUAGAUAUAGAUAUUAUUAUUUGGAUGAAUUGCCAUUUCCAUUACUAUUGGUUAAUAUCCAAGUCUCGUGUGUUCCCGGGAGGAAUUCCAUCUCUUCCAAAGCUACCUAAAUAAGGCCAGAGAGUCAAAUAGGUAGGUAGGUAGGCAAAUAAAUAGUCUAAGGUCGGGUCAGACAACAUACAUCGUCGGCUACCACCACUAGAGAUAUUAUACAUUCUAUAGAAUCCAUCUUAUAAUCACAUUCUAUAGAAUUCAUCUUAUAAUCUAAUAACAAAGAAUGGAAAAGAAUGAAUCUUAUAAUCUAAUAACAAAGAAUGGAAAAUGCAUAGACGCAUUAGGCGCACUCACAGCGCUUUCCCUUGCCCAGAUCUGAUCCAUCUUCUAAGUCAAAAGGUAAAGGUAACCUGCCUAAGACAGAAAUAAGUAUCUACACAUGUUUACACGAAGACCGUAUAACUUUGAGUUCGGUUAGUAUUAGUAUAGGGGACACUUUCCCGGACCAGAAGAUGAAUAAUCCAGCUCUGCUCUCUAGGGCCCGGACUAGAAGAUGAAUAGUCCAGCUCUCUAGCCUUAGGAACCAGUUUCGAAUAUGACUCUAGUAGGGAAGGCAUUAGAGGUGAACGAUCAGAGGUGUCUUCUAAUCACCAGGAUGAGGCUGGCUCUUUGGUAUACUCCGCUAUGAAUUCAGAAAUGAAUGCCGGACUAUCCUUAUUCAUUCUAUAGGGCACAGCUAACCCCCAAUAAAGAUCUGAUAAUGCUGAUGACUUCUUUGAUGGCCCUGAACUUGUAGUCCUCCUUUUAGUGUAGGUUCAAUUGGAUUGGAUGAAUCCGUAAAGGUCAACGUACAUAGCAGCAAGG
rnacentral:lncRNA from 1 species